rnacentral:tRNA from 1 species
GUGUGUAGCUCAGCUGGAUAGAGUGUUUGGCUACGAACCAAAAGGUCGGGGGUUCGAAUCCCUCCACG